rnacentral:lncRNA from 1 species
CCGCCGGCGACUUCCCCCUCCACCUCACCAACAUCUCAUGCACCUUCGGCUAAUCCUCCUAAAGGGUCCUCUCCGACGCCGGCAACUUCACCUUCCACGUCUUCGCCUUAUCCUCCAAAAGGAUACUCUCCAGUGCCGGCGACUUCACCUUCCACGUCACCAUCAUCUCAUGCGCCUUCGCCUUAUCCUCCAAAAGGGUACUCUCCGGUGCCGGCAACUUCACCUUCUACGUCACCAUCAUCAUCCCAAUCACCUGCGGCUAAUGCUCCAACUGGGCUGUCACCGGCUCCGGGAACUUCCCCCUCCACGUCACCGUCAUCGCAACCACCUGCGGCUAAUGCUCCAACUGGGCUGUCACCGGCUCCGGGAACUUCCCCCUCCACGUCACCGUCAUCGCAGCCAC